rnacentral:rRNA from 1 species
UACGUAGGGGGCAAGCGUUGUUCGGAAUUACUGGGGGUAGAGGGCGCGUAGGCGGCACAGCAAGUCGGGAGUGAAAGCCCGGGGCUCAACCCCGGAACUGCUUUCGAAACUGCUGAGCUAGAGUACAGAAGGGGCAACCGGAAUUCCCAGUGUAGCGGUGAAAUGCGUAGAUAUUGGGAAGAACACCUGAGGCGAAGGCGGGUUGCUGGGCUGAUACUGACGCUGAGGCGCGAAAGCCAGGGGAGCAAACGGG